rnacentral:rRNA from 1 species
GUCCUACGGGGGGCAGCAGUAGGGAAUUCUCGUCAAUGGGCGCAAGCCUGAACGAGCAAUGCCGCGUGAACGAGGAAGGUCUUCGGAUCGUAAAGUUCUGUUGAAGGGGAAAAAGAGCGGAGAGAGGAAAUGGUCUCCGAUUGAUAUUACCCUUCGAGGAAGUCACGGCUAACUACGUGCCAGCAGCCGCGGUAAUACGUAGGUGGCGAGCGUUAUCCGGAAUGAUUGGGCGUAAAGGGUGCGUAGGCGGCCCGCUAAGUCUGGAGUGAAAGGUACCGGCUCAACCGGUACAGGCUCUGGAAACG